GACAGAGGGUGCAAACGUUGGUCGGAAUUACUGGGCGUAAAGCGUGUGUAGGCGGCUUGGCAAGUCGGAUGUGAAAGCCCUGGGCUCAACCCAGGAAGUGCACUCGAUACUGCCGAGCUUGAGUAUCGGAGAGGUGGGUGGAAUUCUCGGUGUAGAGGUGAAAUUCGUAGAUAUUCGCAAGAACACCAGUGGCGAAGGCGGCUCACUGGCCCGAUACUGACGCUGAGGCACGAAAGCGUGGGGAGCAAACAGG
rnacentral:rRNA from 1 species